UAACACGUGAGCAACCUGCCUUUCANAGGGGGAUAACAGUUGGAAACGACUGCUAAUACCGCAUAACGCUGCGAUGGGGCAUCCCGAUGCAGCCAAAGGAGCAAUCCGCUGAAAGAUGGGCUCGCGGCCGAUUAGCUAGUUGGUGGGGCAACGGCCCACCAAGGCGACGAUCGGUAGCCGGACUGAGAGGUUGAUCGGCCACAUUGGGACUGAGACACGGCCCAGACUCCUACGGAAGGCAGCAG
rnacentral:rRNA from 1 species